AAACCAACAGGGAUUGCCCUAGUAACGGCGAGUGAAGCGGCAACAGCUCAAAUUUGAAAUCUGGCUCUUUAGGGCCCGAGUUGUAAUUUGUAGAGGAUGCUUUUGGCGCGGUGCCUUCCGAGUUCCCUGGAACGGGACGCCUUAGAGGGUGAGAGCCCCGUACGGUUGGACACCAAGCCUCUGUAAAGCUCCUUCGACGAGUCGAGUAGUUUGGGAAUGCUGCUCUAAAUGGGAGGUAAAUUUCUUCUAAAGCUAAAUAUUGGCCAGAGACCGAUAGCGCACAAGUAGAGUGAUCGAAAGAUGAAAAGCACUUUGAAAAGAGGGUUAAACAGCACGUGAAAUUGUUGAAAGGGAAGCGUUUGCGACCAGACCUUUUCCUAGCGGAUCAUCCGGUGUUCUUCGCCGGUGCACUUCGCUAGGUCGAGGCCAGCAUCGGUUUCCGCAGGGGGAUAAAAGCCCAGGGAACGUAGCUCUUUCGGGAGUGUUAUAGCCCUCCGCAUAAUACCCUUGCGGGGACCGAGGACCGCGCUUUUUGCAAGGAUGCUGGCGUAAUGGUCGUCAACGAC
rnacentral:rRNA from 1 species